rnacentral:rRNA from 1 species
UUAAGUUAGAAAGGGCGCACGGUGGAUGCCUUGACACUAGGAGUCGAUGAAGGACGGGACUAACGCCGAUAUGCUUCGGGGAGCUGUAAGUAAGCUUUGAUCCGAAGAUUUCCGAAUGGGGAAACCCACUAUACGUAAUGGUAUGGUAUCCUUACCUGAAUACAUAGGGUAUGGAAGACAGACCCAGGGAACUGAAACAUCUAAGUACCUGGAGGAAGAGAAAGCAAAUGCGAUUUCCUGAGUAGCGGCGAGCGAAACGGAACAUAGCCCAAACCAAGAGGCUUGCCUCUUGGGGUUGUAGGACAUUCUAUACGGAGUUACAAAGGAACGAGGUAGACGAAGCGACCUGGAAAGGUCCGUCGUAGAGGGUAACAACCCCGUAGUCGAAACUUCGUUCUCUCUUGAAUGUAUCCUGAGUACGGCGGAACACGUGAAAUUCCGUCGGAAUCUGGGAGGACCAUCUCCCAAGGCUAAUACUCCCUAGUGAUCGAUAGUGAACCAGUACCGUGAGGGAAAGGUGAAAAGCACCCCGGAAGGGGAGUGAAAGAGAUCCUGAAACCGUGUGCCUACAAAUAGUCAGAGCCCGUUAAUGGGUGAUGGCGUGCCUUUUGUAGAAUGAACCGGCGAGUUACGAUCCCGUGCGAGGUUAAGCUGAAGAGGCGGAGCCGCAGCGAAAGCGAGUCUGAAUAGGGCGUUUAGUACGUGGUCGUAGACCCGAAACCAGGUGAUCUACCCAUGUCCAGGGUGAAGUUCAGGUAACACUGAAUGGAGGCCCGAACCACGCACGUUGAAAAGUGCGGGGAUGAGGUGUGGGUAGCGGAGAAAUUCCAAUCGAACCUGGAGAUAGCUGGUUCUCCCGAAAUAGCUUUAGGGCUAGCCUUAAGUGUAAGAGUCUUGGAGGUAGAGCACUGAUUGAACUAGGGGUCCUCAUCGGAUUACCGAAUUCAGUCAAACUCCGAAUGCCAAUGACUUAUCCUUAGGAGUCAGACUGCGAGUGAUAAGAUCCGUAGUCAAGAGGGAAACAGCCCAGAUCGCCAGCUAAGGUCCCAAAGUGUGUAUUAAGUGGAAAAGGAUGUGGAGUUGCUUAGACAACUAGGAUGUUGGCUUAGAAGCAGCCACCAUUUAAAGAGUGCGUAAUAGCUCACUAGUCGAGUGACUCUGCGCCGAAAAUGUACCGGGGCUAAAUACACCACCGAAGCUGCGAAUUGAUACCAAUGGUAUCAGUGGUAGGGGAGCGUUCUAAGUGCAGUGAAGUCAGACCGGAAGGACUGGUGGAGCGCUUAGAAGUGAGAAUGCCGGUAUGAGUAGCGAAAGACGGGUGAGAAUCCCGUCCACGAAUGCUAAGGUUUCCUGAGGAAGGCUCGUCCGCUCAGGGUUAGUCAGGACCUAAGCGAGCCGACAGGCGUAGGCGAUGGACAACAGGUUGAUAUUCCUGUACCACCUCUUUAUCGUUUGAGCAAUGGAGGGACGCAGAAGGAUAGAAGAAGCGUGCGAUUGGUUGUGCACGUCCAAGCAGUUAGGCUGAUAAGUAGGCAAAUCCGCUUAUCGUGAAGGCUGAGCUGUGAUGGGGAAGCUCCUUAUGGAGCGAAGUCUUUGAUUCCCGCUGCCAAGAAAAGCUUCUAGCGAGAUAAAAGGUGCCUGUACGCAAACCGACACAGGUAGGCGAGGAGAGAAUCCUAAGGUGUGCGAGAGAACUCUGGUUAAGGAACUCGGCAAAAUGACCCCGUAACUUCGGAGAAGGGGUGCUUUCUUAACGGAAAGCCGCAGUGAAUAGGCCCAAGCGACUGUUUAGCAAAAACACAGCUCUCUGCGAAGCCGUAAGGCGAAGUAUAGGGGGUGACACCUGCCCGGUGCUGGAAGGUUAAGGAGAGGGGUUAGCGUAAGCGAAGCUCUGAACUGAAGCCCCAGUAAACGGCGGCCGUAACUAUAACGGUCCUAAGGUAGCGAAAUUCCUUGUCGGGUAAGUUCCGACCCGCACGAAAGGUGUAACGAUUUGGGCACUGUCUCAACCAGAGACUCGGUGAAAUUAUAGUACCUGUGAAGAUGCAGGUUACCCGCGACAGGACGGAAAGACCCCGUGGAGCUUUACUGUAGCCUGAUAUUGAAUUUUG